GAUUCUGGGCGUAAGCGCACGCAGGCGGUCUGUCAAGUCGGAUGUGAAAUCCCCGGGCUCAACCUGGGAACUGCAUUCGAAACUGGCAGGCUAGAGUCUUGUAGAGGGGGGUAGAAUUCCAGGUGUAGCGGUGAAAUGCGUAGAGAUCUGGAGGAAUACCGGUGGCGAAGGCGGCCCCCUGGACAAAGACUGACGCUCAGGUGCGAAAGCGUGGGGAGCAAACAGGAUUAGAUACCCUGGUAGUCCACGCCGUAAACGAUGUCGACUUGGAGGUUGUGCCCUUGAGGCGUGGCUUCCGGAGCUAACGCGUUAAGUCGACCGCCUGGGGAGUACGGCCGCAAGGUUAAAACUCAAAUGAAUUGACGGGGGCCCGCACAAGCGGUGGAGCAUGUGGUUUAAUUCGAUGCAACGCGAAGAACCUUACCUACUCUUGACAUCCAGAGAACUUUCCAGAGAUGCAUUGGUGCCUUCGGGAACUCUGAGACAGGUGCUGCAUGGCUGUCGUCAGCUCGUGUUUGUGAAUGUUGGGUUAAGUCCCGCAACGAGCGCAACCCUUAUCCUUUGUUGCCAGCGGUCAGGCGGGGAACUCAAAGGAGACUGCCAGUGAUAAACUGGAG
rnacentral:rRNA from 1 species